rnacentral:rRNA from 1 species
UCUGGUGACUAUAGCAAGGAGGUCACACCUGUUCCCAUGCCGAACACAGAAGUUAAGCUCCUUAGCGCCGAUGGUAG